AAUUGUUUAGAGUUACACAAAUAGACACUAUUAAUAUCGACAUAUAUCUAAAUUUUACAGUUUAGCUUAGCUUACACUACAAAAAUAAAUCUAUCUUUGUAAUAUUGAUUUGAAUGACCCAUAGCUGGUAGUUUUGUGUUCUAAAGUUUACGAUGGAGUCGACACCGCUAGAUGCAAUGGAAGAAGUGUGUAUAAAACAUGAGGACAAUAUCUGUGUAAAAGAAUCAACAGAAGCACUCGACGAAGUGCGUGUAAAAGUUGAGCCAGUGCAAUAUAUCAGUGUAAAAACACCUUAUGACAGUGUGCGUGUGAAAGAAGAACCAGAAGAACACCCGUCGGCUGAGGAUAUAGUAAAACACGAACCGACUUGCUUAAAAAGGCAUGGCGUGAACGCUGUGGAUACUUCAGAGUUGUAUGCUGACCAUAUUGUAAAAGAUGAGCUAGUGCUCGGCCCCGAGAUAAUGGAGAGGCCAAUGGAAGGGAAAACUCAAGAAAAGGAACGAAGUGGGAAGCCCCGUAAUUACAAAUGUGGCCAAUGCAGUUUUGCUACCGUACACCAACGAAGUUUGAAAUGUCAUAAAGAGAAACACUCUAAUGUAAAGCCUUACAAAUGUGGGCAAUGUGAUUACGCUUCUGUACGCAAAAGUAAUUUAAAAAGCCAUGAAUCGACACACACUGGUAUAAAGCCACACAAAUGUGGCCAAUGUAAUUUUGCUAGUGCACAUAAAAAUAGUUUACGAGAACAUAAAAAGAUACACAUUGGAGACAAGCCUUACAAAUGUGGUCAAUGCAGUUAUGCUAGUUUUUACAAACACAAAUUGCGAAUUCAUGAAAGGGUACAUACAAAGGUAUGCGGCGGUGAAAAGCCAUACAAAUGUGACCAAUGUGAUUUUGCUACUGCCCUCAAACAAAGUUUCACAUCACAUAAAUGGACGCAUUUUUGUGAAAAGCUAUACAAAUGCGACCAAUGCAGUUAUUCAAGUGCCUACAGACAUAAUUUACGAACCCAUAAAAUGUUACACACCGGUAAGAAGCCCUAGAAAUGUGAGAAAUGUAGUUAUGCAACUGUACGAAAAAAUAUGUUGCGAGACCAUAUAAUAACCAAAACAUAUUUUAGCAGAAACUAAAUAAUUUGUAAGAGUUAUGGAAAUAAAGAGUCUAUAAUAAAAAUAAUAACCCACACUGGUGAAAAGCGACAUAAAUGUGAUUAUGCUGCUGUUCUUAAAAGUACUUUACUGAGCCACAAGAAGACGCACAAAGGAGAAAUAAGUGCUAAAACCGCCGCAGAAACCUACCCCACAUCAGGAGUAACAGGACCACUUGCCGAUCAAACCUGUAUGAAACUUGAAUUAAACCAGUAUCUUUUGAAGCACCACCAGAUUCCCAGGACGAGAUUGAAAUGAAUAUAAAGAAGGAAGAAAUGGAGGAAUAUACUGAAGAAGAAGACGCAAAUUAAAGCUAGGUGCUUUGAAUUAACUAUAAAAAUAUGCUUAACUAUCUAAUAAAACAUCUAGAAUGGAACUGAGG